AUACUCUCAACCUUCUUGGUUUCUUUGACCAUGAAGGCUUGGACUUUGGAGGUUUUUCUUGCUGGCCUCUUUUGAAGCCAGCUCCUCCUAAAUGAAUGGGUGGGGUCCGCUUUGCUGAUCCUCGACGUGAUAAGUAGUAAGUAUUUCUUCUACGUCUUAGUGUCAGCUCGGAACCCGCUUUCCAACCGUCUUUGCACAAAGACAAUGUUCGAGUUGUGACUCGACCUUACAAA
rnacentral:misc_RNA from 1 species